CCGGGCGGAAGCUCGGCGCGGCCCCGCGGCGCCCACCCCUGCGGAGGGGAGGAGAGGGGACGGGCGAACCGACCGGGGCGGCCCUCGCCGCGGGGCUGCCGGCCUCGGGGCAGGCUGAAAUAUUAAGUUAAUCUAAGCGAAUAAGCCCUAAUAAGGCCUGCUGGGAUCCAGCUGACUCCUCAUAGGCACUUUAAUCUGAACUCCACAAAAUGCCUCUGUUUGUUCUUCAUCCACAGAUUACCUCCCAAACCAUUAUUUGCUGAAGAUGGAUGUCACACCCAGCACAUGGAUGGUGUAUCCAGCCAUUCAGAAAGGUUGUUUAUCAUUAACUUUUCAUUUAACCAUAAAACCGUUUGACAAAUACAAACUCAUUAUAGCUAGCAGAGCUGAAUGGAGGUUUUUUUGCUUAAUUUUUCCUGAGUAACAUAUCUGAGCUCAUGCUGAUACAUGUAAGGAAUAAAACCAUUAUUACAGCAAUGAAGCAGGGAGCAGCUAUGUUUUCAUGGAUAGGAUACUCUUCUAACUUAGGUUGAAAUAGAAUUGGGCCAAAUACAUCUUUUCUUAUUCACAGGAUUAGUCUUACAACUUCAAUAGAGUACCUGUGAGUCAGGUGAGCCCUCACACUUUCACUUUUGCUCGCUGAUGAUAUGGUUGCUCUAGUCUGUUUUUGAUGGGUUGUAGCCUCGUUUUUCAGAAAACUGUAAACAGUGGACUGAAAGACAUUUCAUCAUGUGCAUAUUACUUUGUAAUUAUUACUGUGUCAACUAUAGAACUUGAGCUUCAUAUCCACAUACAUUUCCUAGAAACAGCUUAAUCUGUAUGUGAAAGAUACACUACACACAGCAUCCCCAACAAUAAUGCAAGAGGGUAGUAAAACUGCAACAAACUCACUAAAAUAGUCCCACCAAUAGAUGACUGAAGAAUGGGAAACAAGAUCAUAGACUGAGUCUUACAGUGUCACUACAGAAUAUGAGUCCUGUUGCGCAAGUCCCUCUCAGUCUAUGAUACUGUCCCUGUCCUUUGCUGUUCCUCAUUCCUUUUCUCUGGUCAUGUUUCGUUGUCUCCAAACAUAAAACCAAAAAGAAAAAUUUAUGGUAAGUGGUAAAUAUAGCAAUGAGUGGAGGAAGGGUAAUGAAAGAUUGAAAUUGAAUUAACAAUGUUCAAGUGUAGAAAACAAAAGAAGGAUGAAAAUAAAGAAUGAAAAAUAGCAUAUUAGAAUUGUAAAUAAGCUCCUAGGUCACUGAGUUCAGUCAUUGUAUACAGCCACAAAAUUUCCAUUCAUUAAAAAAUUACUUUAAUAUAAUGGGAGGGAUCCCGGAAACAAGCAAGAUAGGGUGUUUUUUGGCUAGGUAGGAUUGAAUUUUCGGUUGCACUGUCUUCAGUAACUAUAUGAGCUCUGUCUAUUGCUGCAUCAUCGAUCUAUGUAAAUAUCAGUUUGCCUUUUUCAUUUUCAAAUUGUAUGCACCUCUGCUGUACGUAGUGGAACUUAUAUGUGGCUAGGAGCAAAAGAAUAAAGUGAAGCCUUAAAAUGGUCUUUGCAUCUUUUGUUUGAUACUGUGGGAAGCCAGGGUGCCACAUUUUAACAGUGUGUGAUAACUUUGACAUGUAGUUAAAGCUAGAAAUGGAAAAGAAGUGCCUAAAACAGGGAAGACUUUAAAUAAUAACAUGUAAGAAUAAAGAGAAAAAGUAGUGAAGCAACUGACUUUAAAAAGAUUUAUAGCAAGAGAGGCAAUACCAGGGGGAGCAAUAGUAACAGUAAUGCUCCACCUUUUUGAUAUCUAACCAUUUGACUCCGUGUAAAAAGGAAACAUUCAAGAAUUAUGACAUAAAUUAAUUGACUGAAAACAGUAGAAGUGAUGCAUCAAUUUACAAGAGAUGUACUGCUACCUUUUGCCAGCGGCCUACUGUAUAAUAAGGCAGACAGGGGAGUUCAGGUUCCUCGGCAGAGAUAGACUGUAGGUCUAUAACACUCAGUUCCAACAACAUUGAGAACCCUGAUAUUGUGGGUAGAAAGACAAUUUUAUUGAACUUCUGUCAGAGACAAUAUAGGACUGUGAAUACAAAAAGUAUAAAGAUCUGAGCUGUGGGAUACAGUGGAAGAAAACAACCUCUCAGAGGCUGGACCUCUUUGAUAAGAUGUGACUAUAUCCCCACAGACUUUGAAGCCUUUAAAAAGUAUAGACAAUCUACAUUCAGGAAAGAAAUGUCUAACAGUCUGAAAAAAAAAAAGGUAAAGAGUUACUUGGGGGAAAG